AAUUCCCCUAUUUAGUCAAGGUAUUCAAGUAAUGACCAAUAUCCAAUAAUUCUCCUUCAUAAGAUUCUUCAAGAAAUAGCUUGUCUUCUCUGUUGAGAUUUGAUAUUGAAUAGAAUUUCAAUCCGACGUCAUCAAUGUCCUCAACCAUUUCGUCCUCCCUCUCAUAUCUUGCUCGAGAUAGCAUGUCUGCUACUAAAUUGUCCUUCCCAGUGAUAUGCUUAAAUUCUGGAUUUAGUGACUUAAUAUAAGCAAUCCAUCU
rnacentral:lncRNA from 1 species